CCAUUUUUUAAAAAUCUACCCCGCCCCCAAAUCAACUGCUAAACCAAAUGUGAAACUACAGAAACAAGAAUGAAUUUUUGAUCUUGCACCUUGUCCAUGCAUAGCAAUUUACAAGCACAGAAAACCUGUUUUACAAUAAUACAGAGUACCUUCCACUGCCAUGCUUUUCUUGAUGAAACAAAGACUACGGGCCUGUGGGGUGUAUAUACAGGAUAUGAAAGGAGCCAAAGCUAUAACUGCAGAUGGCACUGGAAAGGGACCUGGAAGGCAUGUUCCAGCUUCUGAUGGAGGAGAUACUUCUGAGAAUUGGUGCAAGUCGAAAAAGCAGGUCAAAAGAUCUGUGAAGACAAGAUCAGUGAAAUUCACUUAUGAAACACGUCCGAAGCAACUUCAGGAAUCUGUUCUUCAUCUAGUUGGUAAAACAGAUAGACCAAACAAAGUAACUGGCCAUAAUCAGAAAAAGUGUGCAGACAAAGAAACCUAUAAGUGUGAGGUUUGUGGAAAGUGUUUCAGCCAAAGGCCAUACCUUAGGCAACAUUUGCUAACCCACACUGUAGAGAAACAUGUUAAGUGUGCUGAAUGUGGGAAAACUAUGUGCCGAAAUGCAGACCUUGUUAAACAUCAGAGAAUUCACACAGGAGAGAAACCAUAUCCAUGUAGUGAAUGUGGAAGAAGCUUUUCUCAGGCAUCAAACGCUAUUAGACACCAGAGAAUUCACACUGAAGAGAAACCGUACAAAUGCA